GGGUUACGGGCUAGUCAAGGUCAUGCAGCUAGAACAGGAAAGAGACAGAGCCGAGACUCGAACUGCUUCCUACUGAGAAUUCCGGACUAGAGAAAAACGGAAAGAAAAAAAAAAAAAAAGAGGAUGAGUUAAACAACCGUAGUUGAAAUGACUAUCUAAAGAAUAAGGUUGCCUCGAAUAAGAUAGUACUGUUUGAUGUUAAGGCAGAGUAAGGAUAGCCUUAACCAGAAGAGCAAAACCUCUGGAGAAGGGAGAAUGAAUACCACUUCUUGCAUUUUUCCAAACACUGGGUGUCUCUGCUCCCUGCCUACGAAAGACCGUUCUAGGCUGCAGCCACAACCACCACCCUCUCUGAUCUUGAAGGGGAGGCGGAGCUGGAAAGUGAGAAAAGAAGCGGAGGAGGAUAUGGGGUGGAGUCAGUGGUGAGAAUAAGUCCCGUGAUACAUGAGGUCACCCCUCCUGGGAGUGCGUCACUCGUGAGGAAUGCCACAACACCCUAGCCUUGGGCAGGCUGAGUCAAAUAUCACUUCCGCGUAUUCUCAUCUUCCAGUCUCAAGUUUGGCGGAAGACACUUGCAAAAGCCCCUUCUCUUUGCCUUCGGUGACUCAGAAGUACACCGACUCCGACUCAUCUAAAAAUAAGGGAAGAACAGACAGGAUUUAAAUAGACAAGUUAUUAGGGAGAAACUCCGCUAUCUCCUGGAGUCCUAAAUACCCUGUUUGGUGUUUAGAAGUUUCAGAUCGUCCCCAAAGUUUCCUACAUUUUGGUCUUCCUGGAAACCACCAAAAGCAUUGUGCAAAGGACAGAGAUGAAAACUGUCAAAACUAACUUAGCGUGUGUUCUGCUAAUUUCCCUUACCCCCUUGCCACUACCCUUAGCUUGUGGUCUCCCGGUCUCCAUUUCUCACCCUGACUUUAUGUGUAUGUCUGGAUGAUAGGGAUGCUGACUAGCUAGUUGAGUGUGAGCCCUAAAUGCCCUAUCACUUUUUUUAAACUUUAUUUUAUUUUUCUGUGAACUAAUGUUUUGCCUGUGUGCAUGCCUGGGCACCAGUCGUGUGCAGUGUUUUCAGAGGGUGUCAUAUCAACUAGAACUGAAGUUUUAGCUGGUUGUGAGCCCCUAUGUGUGUGCUGGGAAUCAAACCCUGAUCUGCAAGAUCUCUUAGCUGAGAUAGAGGAUAGAUAGAUAGAUAGAUAGAUAGAUAGAUAGAUAGAUAGAUAGACAGACGGAUGACAGGCAGAUGGGCAGGGAUAGAGCAUGGUGCUUAGAUAGAUAGAUAGAUAGAUAGAUAGAUAGAUAGAUAGAUAGAUAGAUAGAUAGGCAGAUGGGCAGGGAUAGAGCAUGGUGCUUAGAUAGAUAGAUAGAUAGACAGACAGACAGACAGACGGAUGACAGGCAGAUGGGCAGGGAUAGAGCAUGAUAGAUAGAUAGAUAGAUAGAUAGACAGACAGACAGACAGACAGACAGGCAGAUGGGCAGGGAUAGAGCUUGGUGCUUACUUAGCAUACACCAGGUUAGAUUAAAUAAGUGAAACAGUACCAUGAAGUUAGGGACAAGUAGAUCCCGUGGAACAACAUACCCUGGUGUAAGAGAGUUGAAAGAAUGAUUUUGAAGUUGAGGACCUUGCAGUCUCAUAUGUCCCGUCAUUGCAAACAACUCUGGUGGGUGCAAUUACUAAGUACUUGUUGGGUGCAAGUCACCACAGUAAAGACUAGUGAGCCUUAGUUUUGUUUAUAGAACUUUGGGAUUUGUGAAAGACCAGAGUUUUCCUUUCAUUCUAAAAUUCUGCUCCUGAGGACCAGCAAGACAGUUCAGUGAAUAAAGCCAUUUCUACCAAGCUUGGUGCUGUCCAUUCAGUUCCUAGUACACACACGGAAGCAGUGAGGCUGCUCCACAAGUUGUC
ensembl:lncRNA